rnacentral:rRNA from 1 species
ACAGAGGGGGCAAGCGUUGUCCGGACUUACUGGGCGUAAAGGGUCCGCAGGUGGCGCGGCAAGUGUGAUGUGAAAGCCCCGCGCUUCACGCGGGGAGGCCAUUACCGACUGCCGGGCUGGAGGGCUGCAGAGGGUCGUGGAAUUGCCGGUGUAGUGGUGAAAUGCGUAGAGAUCGGCAGGAACACCAAGGACGAAGGUAGCGACCUGGGCAGCACCUGACACUGAGGGACGACAGCGUGGGGAGCGAACCGGAUUAGAUACCCGGGUAGUCCACGCCGUAAACGAUGGAUGCUCGGCGUGUGGCGGCUAUCAACGCCGCUGGGCGCCUCAGCUGACGCGGAAGCAUCCCGCCUGGGAACUACGAGCGCAAGCUUA